rnacentral:rRNA from 1 species
AUUGAACGCUGGCGGCAGGCCUAACACAUGCAAGUCGAGCGGAUGACGGGAGCUUGCUCCUUGAUUCAGCGGCGGACGGGUGAGUAAGGCCUAGGAAUCUGCCUGGUAGUGGGGGACAACGUUUCGAAAGGAACGCUAAUACCGCAUACGUCCUACGGGAGAAAGCAGGGGACCUUCGGGCCUUGCGCUAUCAGAUGAGCCUAGGUCGGAUUAGCUAGUUGGUGGGGUAAUGGCUCACCAAGGCGACGAUCCGUAACUGGUCUGAGAGGAUGAUCAGUCACACUGGAACUGAGACACGGUCCAGACUCCUACGGGAGGCAGCAGUGGGGAAUAUUGGACAAUGGGCGAAAGCCUGAUCCAGCCAUGCCGCGUGUGUGAAGAAGGUCUUCGGAUUGUAAAGCACUUUAAGUUGGGAGGAAGGGCAGUAAGUUAAUACCUUGCUGUUUUGACGUUACCGACAGAAUAAGCACCGGCUAACUCUGUGCCAGCCGCCGCAGUAAAAC